rnacentral:rRNA from 1 species
CCUACGGGAGGCUGCAGUGGGGGAUAUUGCACAAUGGGGGAAACCCUGAUGCAGCGACGCCGCGUGUGGGAAGACGGUCCUCUGGAUUGUAAACCACUGUCCCCAGGGACGAAAAUGACGGUACCUGGGGAGGAAGCUCCGGCUAACUACGUGCCAGCAGCCGCGGUAAUACGGAGGGAGCGAGCGUUGGCCGGAAUGACUGGGUGUAAAGGGAGCGUAGGCGGGGAUGCAAGUUGGGUGUCAAAACUACCGGCUCAACUGGUAGUCGCACUCAAAACUGCAGCUCUUGAGUGAAGUAGAGGCAGGCGGAAUUCCUAGUGUAGCGGUGCAAUGCGUAGAUAUUAGGAGGAACACCAGUGGCGAAGGCGGCCUGCUGGGCUUUUUCUGACGCUGAGGCUCGAAAGUGUGGGGAGCAAACAGGAUUAGAUACCCUGGUAGUC